GACGAACGCUGGCGGCGUGCUUAACACAUGCAAGUCGAACGGAAAGGCCCUGCUUUUGUGGGGUGCUCGAGUGGCGAACGGGUGAGUAACACGUGAGUAACCUGCCCUUGACUUUGGGAUAACUUCAGGAAACUGGGGCUAAUACCGGAUAGGAGCUCCUGCUGCAUGGUGGGGGUUGGAAAGUUUCGGCGGUUGGGGAUGGACUCGCGGCUUAUCAGCUUGUUGGUGGGGUAGUGGCUUACCAAGGCUUUGACGGGUAGCCGGCCUGAGAGGGUGACCGGCCACAGUGGGACGGAGAUACGGCCCAGACUCAUACGGGAGGAAGCAGUGGGGAAUAUUGCACAAUGGGCGGAAGCCUGAUGCAGCAACGCCGGGUGCGGGAUGACGGCCUUCGGGUUGUAAACCGCUUUCGCGUGUGACGAAGCGUGAGUAACGGUAAUGGGUAAAGAAGCACCGGCGAACUACGU
rnacentral:rRNA from 1 species